rnacentral:rRNA from 1 species
GUGGGGAAUAUUGCACAAUGGGCGAAAGCCUGAUGCAGCAACGCCGCGUGAGUGAUGAAGGCCUUCGGGUUGUAAAGCUCUGUCUUCUGGGACGAUAAUGACGGUACCAGAGGAGGAAGCCACGGCUAACUACGUGCCAGCAGCCGCGGUAAUACGUAGGUGGCAAGCGUUGUCCGGAUUUACUGGGCGUAAAGGGCGCGUAGGCGGCGCGGUAAGUCACUUGUGAAAUCUCUGAGCUUAACUCAGAACGGCCAAGUGAUACUGCUGUGCUAGAGUGCGGAAGAGGCAACCGGAAUUCUUGGUGUAGCGGUGAAAUGCGUAGAUAUCAAGAGGAACACCUGAGGCGAAGGCGGGUUGCUGGGCCGACACUGACGCUGAUGCGCGAAAGCCAGGGGAGCAAACG